rnacentral:rRNA from 1 species
ACUUUCAGUCGGGAAGAAGGCGUUGAUGCUAAUAUCAUCAACGAUUGACGUUACCGACAGAAGAAGCACAGGCUAAUGCGUGCCAGCAGCCGCGGUAAUACGAAGGGUGCAAGCGUUGAUCGGAAUUACUGGGCGUAAUGCGCACGCAGACGGUUGAUUAAGUUAGAUGUGAAAUCCCCGGGCUUAACCUGGGAAUGGCAUCUAAGACUGGUCAGCUAGAGUCUUGUAGAGGAGGGUAGAAUUCCAUGUGUAGCGGUGAAAUGCGUAGAGAUGUGGAGGAAUACCGGUGGCGAAGGCGGCUCCCUGGACAAAGACUGACGCUCAGGUGCGACAGCGUGGAGAGCAAACAGGAUUAGAUACCCUGGUAGUCCACGCUGUAAACGAUGUCGAUUUGAAGGUUGUUCCCUUGAGGAGUGGCUUUCGGAGCUAACGCGUUAAAUCGACCGCCUGGGGAGUACGGCCGCAAGGUUAAAACUCAAAUGAAUUGACGGGGGCCCGCACAAGCGGUGGAGCAUGUGGUUUAAUUCGAUGCAACGCGAAGAACCUUACCUACUCUUGACAUCCAGAGAAUUUAGCAGAGAUGCUUUAGUGCCUUCGGGAACUCUGAGACAGGUGCUGCAUGGCUGUCGUCAGCUCGUGUUGUGAAAUGUUGGGUUAAGUCCCGCAACGAGCGCAACCCUUAUCCUUUGUUGCCAGCGAUUCGGUCGGGAACUCAAAGGAGACUGCCGGUGAUAAACCGGAGGAAGGUGGGGAUGACGUCAAGUCAUCAUGGCCCUUACGAGUAGGGCUACACACGUGCUACAAUGGCGUAUACAAAGAGAAGCGACCUCGCGAGAGCAAGCGGAACUUAUAAAGCUACGUCGUAGUCCGGAUUGGAGUCUGCAACUCGACUCCAUGAAGUCGGAAUCGCUAGUAAUCGUAGAUCAGAAUGCUACGGUGAAUACGUUCCACGGGCCUUGUACACACGGCCCGUCACACCAUGGGAGUGGGUUGCAAAAGAAGUAGGUAGCUUAUCGCCGCGAG